rnacentral:rRNA from 1 species
GGCGUUGAAAAGCCCCGGGAUGACUUGUGGAUAGGGGUGAAAGGCCAAUCAAACUUCGUGAUAGCUGGUUCUCUCCGAAAUAUAUUUAGGUAUAGCGUUGUGUCGUAAUAUAAGGGGGUAGAGCACUGAAUGGGCUAGGGCAUACACCAAUGUACCAAACCCUAUCAAACUCCGAAUACCUUAUAUGUAAUCACAGCAGUCAGGCGGCGAGUGAUAAAAUCCGUCGUCAAGAGGGAAACAACCCAGACUACCAGCUAAGGUCCCUAAAUCUUACUUAAGUGGAAAACGAUGUGAAGUUACUUAAACAACCAGGAGGUUGGCUUAGAAGCAGCCAUCCUUUAAAGAAAGCGUAAUAGCUCACUGGUCUAGUGAUUUUGCGCGGAAAAUAUAACGGGGCUAAAGUAAGUACCGAAGCUGUAGACUUAGUUUACUAAGUGGUAGGAGAGCGUUCUAUUUGCGUCGAAGGUAUACCGGUAAGGAGUGCUGGAGCGAAUAGAAGUGAGCAUGCAGGCAUGAGUAGCGAUAAUUAAUGUGAGAAUCAUUAACGCCGUAAACCCAAGGUUUCCUACGCGAUGCUCGUCAUCGUAGGGUUAGUCGGGUCCUAAGUCGAGUCCGAAAGGGGUAGACGAUGGCAAAUUGGUUAAUAUUCCAAUACCAACAUUAGUGUGCGAUGGAAGGACGCUUAGGGCUAAGGGGGCUAGCGGAUGGAAGUGCUAGUCUAAGGUCGUAGGAGGUUAUACAGGCAAAUCCGUAUAACAAUACUCCGAGAACUGAAAGGCUUUUUGAAGUCUUCGGAUGGAUAGAAGAACCCCUGAUGCCGUCGAGCCAAGAAAAGUUUCUAAGUUUAGCUAAUGUUGCCCGUACCGUAAACCGACACAGGUGGGUGGGAUGAGUAUUCUAAGGCGCGUGGAAGAACUCUCUUUAAGGAACUCUGCAAAAUAGCACCGUAUCUUCGGUAUAAGGUGUGGUUAGCUUUGUAUUAGGAUUUACUCCGAAAGCAAGGAAACUUACAACAAAGAGUCCCUCCCGACUGUUUACCAAAAACACAGCACUCUGCUAACUCGUAAGAGGAUGUAUAGGGUGUGACGCCUGCCCGGUGCUCGAAGGUUAAUUGAUGGGGUUAGCAUUAGCGAAGCUCUUGAUCGAAGCCCGAGUAAACGGCGGCCGUAACUAUAACGGUCCUAAGGUAGCGAAAUUCCUUGUCGGUUAAAUACCGACCUGCAUGAAUGGCGUAACGAGAUGGGAGCUGUCUCAAAGAGGGAUCCAGUGAAAUUGUAGUGGAGGUGAAAAUUCCUCCUACCCGCGGCAAGACGGAAAGACCCCGUGGACCUUUACUACAGCUUGACACUGCUACUUGGAUAAGAAUGUGCAGGAUAGGUGGGAGGCUUUGAGUAUAUGACGCCAGUUGUAUAUGAGCCAUUGUUGAGAUACCACUCUUUCUUAUUUGGGUAGCUAACCAGCUUGAGUUAUCCUCAAGUGGGACAAUGUCUGGUGGGUAGUUUGACUGGGGCGGUCGCCUCCCAAAUAAUAACGGAGGCUUACAAAGGUUGGCUCAGAACGGUUGGAAAUCGUUCGUAGAGUAUAAAGGUAUAAGCCAGCUUAACUGCAAGACAUACAAGUCAAGCAGAGACGAAAGUCGGUCUUAGUGAUCCGGUGGUUCUGUGUGGAAGGGCCAUCGCUCAAAGGAUAAAAGGUACCCCGGGGAUAACAGGCUGAUCUCCCCCAAGAGCUCACAUCGACGGGGAGGUUUGGCACCUCGAUGUCGGCUCAUCGCAUCCUGGGGCUGGAGCAGGUCCCAAGGGUAUGGCUGUUCGCCAUUUAAAGCGGUACGCGAGCUGGGUUCAGAACGUCGUGAGACAGUUCGGUCCCUAUCUGCCGUGGGCGUAAGAAGAUUGAAGAGAUUUGACCCUAGUACGAGAGGACCGGGUUGAACAAACCACUGGUGUAGCUGUUGUUCUGCCAAGAGCAUCGCAGCGUAGCUAAGUUUGGAAAGGAUAAACGCUGAAAGCAUCUAAGCGUGAAGCCAACUCUAAGAUGAAUCUUCUCUAAGCUCUCUAGAAGACUACUAGUUUGAUAGGCUGGGUGUGUAAUGGAUGAAAGUCCUUUAGCUGACCAGUACUAAUAGAGCGUUUGGCUUAUCUUUAAUAAAGCAU